rnacentral:rRNA from 1 species
GGAGGGUGCAAACGUUGUUCGGAAUCACUGGGCGUAAAGGGCGCGCAGGCGGACCUGUAAGUCAGGAGUGAAAACUCGGGGCUCAACUCCGAGCCUGCUUCUGAAACUGCAAGUCUUGAGGGCCGGAGAGGAGAGUGGAAUUCCUAGUGUAGCGGUGGAAUGCGUAGAUAUUAGGAAGAACACCAGUGGCGAAGGCGACUCUCUGGACGGUUCCUGACGCUGAGGCGCGAAAGCUAGGGGAGCAAACAGGGAUUAGAUACCCUGGUAGUCCUAGCCGUAAACGAUGAGUGCUAGGUGGUGGUGGUUUCAGCGCCCUUCACUGCCGGAGCUAACGCAUUAAGCACUCCGCCUGGGAGUACGGCCGCAAGGUUG